rnacentral:rRNA from 1 species
UACGUAGGGGGCAAGCGUUGUCCGGAAUCAUUGGGCGUAAAGAGCGUGUAGGCGGCUUUACAGGUCCGUUGUGAAAACUCGAGGCUCAACCUCGAGACGUCGGUUGAAACCGUAUGGCUAGAGUCCGGAAGAGGAGAGUGGAAUUCCCGGUGUAGCGGUGAAAUGCGCAGAUAUCGGGAAGAACACCCGUGGCGAAGGCGGCUCUCUGGGACGGUACUGACGCUGAGACGCGAAAAGCGUGGGGGAGCGAACAGG